rnacentral:rRNA from 1 species
CAUAGGUUAAUGAGGCGAACCGGGGGAACUGAAACAUCUAAGUACCCCGAGGAAAAGAAAUCAACCGAGAUUCCCCCAGUAGCGGCGAGCGAACGGGGAGCAGCCCAGAGCCUGAAUCAGUGUGUGUGUUAGUGGAAGCGUCUGGAAAGGCGCGCGAUACAGGGUGACAGCCCCGUACACAAAAAUGCACAUGCUGUGAGCUCGAUGAGUAGGGCGGGACACGUGGUAUCCUGUCUGAAUAUGGGGGGACCAUCCUCCAAGGCUAAAUACUCCUGACUGACCGAUAGUGAACCAGUACCGUGAGGGAAAGGCGAAAAGAACCCCGGCGAGGGGAGUGAAAAAGAACCUGAAACCGUGUACGUACAAGCAGUGGGAGCCUCUUUUAUGGGGUGAC